rnacentral:rRNA from 3 species
AUCGACAUUUCGAACGCACAUUGCGGUCCUCGGAUAUGAUUCCCGGACCACGCCUGGCUGAGGGUC